UCUGUAGGUUGACUCUAUUUACUAUGCUUUGCUUUUAAUGUAGGACAAUGGAAGAGGAAUGCCACAUGAUGAUAUUCCCAAUAUGUUUGGACGAGUUUUGUCUGGGACAAAAUAUGGCUUGAAGCAGACACGCGGAAAGUUUGGACUUGGUGCAAAGAUGGCAUUAAUUUGGUCCAAGAUGAGUACAGGGCUUCCUAUUGACAUUUCAUCAUCAAUGAAGGGCCAAAAUUAUAGUUCAUUCUGCAGGCUUGAUAUAGACAUUCAUCGUUUAUAAAUGGAGCUUCUUUCAAUCAUUAGGAACAUUCCUCACAUUCACUUACAUGAAAAACGGGACAAUAAGGAACGAUGGCAUGGAGCUGAAAUCCAAGUUGUUAUUGAGGGAA